rnacentral:rRNA from 1 species
CAGUCGCCGCGGUAAAACGAAGGGUGCAAGCGUUACUCGGAAUUACUGGGCGUAAAGCGUGCGUAGGUGGUGGUUUAAGUCCGUUGUGAAAGCCCUGGGCUCAACCUGGGAAUUGCAGUGGAUACUGGGUCACUAGAGUGUGGUAGAGGAUAGUGGAAUUUCCGGUGUAGCAGUGAAAUGCGUAGAGAUCGGAAGGAACAUCUGUGGCGAAGGCGACUAUCUGGGCCAACACUGACACUGAGGCACGAAAGCGUGGGGAGCAAACAGGAUUAGAUACCCCAGUAGUCCCUGUCUCUUAUAC